GGGUGAACCUGCUGCUGGAUCAUUACA
rnacentral:rRNA from 1 species